AUUGAACGCUGGCGGCAGGCCUAACACAUGCAAGUAGAGCGGCGCGGCGGACGUGUGAGUAAUGCCUCGGAAUCUGCCUGGUAGCGGGGGAUAACGACCGGCAAGGGGCGCUAAUACCGCAUACUAUCAGAUGAGCCUAUUUCGGAUUAGCUAGGUGGUGGGGUAAAGGCCUACCAAGGCGACGCUCCGUAACUGGUAUGAGCGGAUGAUCAGGCACACGGGAACUGAGACACGGUCCAGACUCCUACGGGAGGAAGCAGUGGGGAAUAUUGGACAAUGGGCGAAAGCCGGAUCCAGACAUGCCGCGUGUGUGAAGAAGGUCUUCGGAUUGUAAAGCACUUUAAGUUGGGAGGCGUUACCAACAGAAUAAGCACCGGCUAACUACGUGCCAGCAGCCGCGGUAAUAC
rnacentral:rRNA from 1 species